rnacentral:rRNA from 1 species
AAUCGCUGUGAAGAUGCAGUGUAUCCGCGGCUAGACGGAAAGACCCCGUGAACCUUUACUGUAGCUUUGCACUGGACUUUGAGCUUGCUUGUGUAGGAUAGGUGGGAGGCUUUGAAGCGUGGACGCCAGUCUGCGUGGAGCCAUCCUUGAAAUACCACCCUGGCAACCUUGAGGUUCUAACUCUGGUCCGUCAUCCGGAUCGAGGACAGUGUAUGGUGGGCAGUUUGACUGGGGCGGUCUCCUCCUAAAGAGUAACGGAGGAGUACGAAGGUGCGCUCAGACCGGUCGGAAAUCGGUCGUAGAGUAUAAAGGCAAAAGCGCGCUUGACUGCGAGACAGACACGUCGAGCAGGUACGAAAGUAGGUCUUAGUGAUCCGGUGGUUCUG